UUGGCGGACGGGUGAGUAACGCGUGGAUAACCUGCCGUAUACCGGGGGAUAACACUUAGAAAUAGGUGCUAAUACCGCAUAAGCGCACGGCUCCGCAUGGGGCAGUGUGAAAAACUCCGGUGGUAUACGAUGGAUCCGCGUCUGAUUAGCUAGUUGGCGGGGUAACGGCCCACCAAGGCAGCGAUCAGUAGCCGGCCUGAGAGGGUGGACGGCCACAUUGGGACUGAGACACGGCCCAAACUCCUACGGAAGGCAGCAG
rnacentral:rRNA from 1 species